rnacentral:tRNA from 1 species
GGGGAUAUAGCUUAGUGACAGAGUGCCUGCCUGGCAUGCAUGAAGCCUUGGGUUCAAUUCCCAGUUCUACA